AUGAUGUUCUGCUCACCAAUGGACUAAGACCUCUGAAACUGGAAGAAGCGCUGCAUUCCUGUGGUCCUGGCUCACUCACUGCUGAAGCGCUCUCACACACUGAGCAGCACCCACUGUUGUUCAUGCUCCUUCUUUGGUCUGCAUCGCUUAUCUCCCUGGACCAUCCUGUGCUGCUGCAUUUGCCUCCUUAAAUAGGCUGCUGGCUGGAGGCUCUAUUUCCAGCCUGGAAUUCCCCCUUCCAUUGACGUCAAGUCAUUCUAAAUCUUUUUUUUUCCCCCCAAACAAUGGAGAAAUUCAAAGAUGGAGGGGAAUGGAUGUUGACUCAGAUUGAAUCAGCUGUUUUACAAUUAAAUGUAUGAGUCUAAUG